GACGUAGGGGGCCAGCGUUGUUCGGAAUCACUGGGUGUAAAGGGUUCGUAGGCGGUGCGGCAAGUUGGGAGUGAAAUCUCUGGGCUUAACCCAGAGGCUGCUUCCAAAACUGCUGUGCUUGAGUGUGGGAGAGGCGCGUGGAAUUGCAGGUGUAGCGGUGAAAUGCGUAGAUAUCUGCAGGAACACCCGUGGCGAAAGCGGCGCGCUGGACCACUACUGACGCUGAGGAACGAAAGCUAGGGGAGCAAACAGG
rnacentral:rRNA from 1 species